GCGCUCGUAGCCUAGCUUGGAUAGGGCGUCGGCCUUCUAAGCCGAAGGUCGCGGGUUCAAAUCCCGCCGAGCGCA
rnacentral:tRNA from 1 species